GCAUGGGUCAGACGAUCAGGCAUAAACUAGGCUAGGCAUCGAGGUGUUGAGUAUCGAGGUCAAUGGAGUACACAAAGUCAAAGCCAGAAUAUCAUCACUUAGAAAGGUUUUGUAUGGAAAGGCUAUAGUAACUGAACAUAUACUUUGCAAAGACAUUGUGUUCAAUGUUUUAUGUGUGGUGUGACUGCGAGUGUAAAGUGACAUGACACCAGGACCCAAACCAGAGCCAUAGAUGUGUACGUGACACAGUUGAGGAGUAUUGCACCUACACAGACACAAAACCAGUACCUGGAUUGGUUUGAGCCUGAUAUUUAUCUUCCUGGUUUGGUAUGCAAAGCCACUGCAGGGUGUCACGUACAGCGGUAGCGAUGGCUACACAUGCAAGCUCGUAUAGCAUCAUGAGGGCACAGAGUCAUGCCUCAAUUCUUCAUGGCAUGGAUUCCACAAGAUGUUGGAAACUUCUAUUGGAUUCAGAUACGGUGGAUUCUAUUGGUCUAUUGGAUUCACAUCUAUUGGAUUCAGAUCAGGUGACUGGGAAGGCCACUGAAGAACAUUGUUAUGUUCAUGAAAUUAUGGACAACUUUUGCUUUGUAAGAUGGUGCAUUAUCAUGUUUGAUGUAGCCAUUCAAAAAUGGGUAAACUGUGGCCAUGAAGGGAUGCACAUGGUCAGCAACAAUACUCAAAUAGACUGUGACAUUCAAGCGAUUAUUGAUUGGUAUUAACGGGCACAAAGUGUGCCAAGAAAACAUUCCCCACACCAUUACACCACCUCCACCAACCUGCGCUGUUUAUACAAGGUAGGUUGGGUCCAUGGAUUCAUGCUGUUGGUGCCAAAUUAAGACCCUACUAUCUGUCUGCCUCAGCAGAAAUACAGAUUCAUCAGACCAGGCUACAUUUUUCCAGUCGUCAAAUGUCUAGUUUUGGUGAGCCUGUUCCCACUACAGACUUCAGCUUUCUUGACAGACAGAAGUGGAACCCGACGUGGUCUUCUGCUGUUGCAGCCCUUCUGUCUGAAGGUUUGAAGUGGUGUGCGUUCUAAGAUGUUUUUCUGUACAGAGUGGUUAUCUGCGUUACUGUCGUCUUUCUGUAAGUUUGAACCAGUCUGGCAAAUCUCCUCUGACCUCUCUCAUCAACAAGGCCUUUACGGCCGAAGAACUGCUGCUCACUGUAAGUUUUUCCUUUAUUACACCAUUCUGAGUAAACUCUGGAGACUGUCAUGUGUGAAAAUCCCAGGAGAUCAUCAGUUAUAGAAAUACUCAAACCAGCCUAUCUGGUACCAACAAUCAUGCCAUAAUAAAAAUCACUGAGAUCACAUUUGUCCUCAUCCUGAUGGUCGAGGUUAACAUUACCCGAAGCUGCUGGCCUGUAUCUGCAUGAUUUUAUACAUUGCACUGCUGCCGCAUGAUCGACUGAGUAGAUAAUGGCAUGAAUAAGUGCUGUAGGUGUACAGGUGUUCUUAAUAAAGUGUUCAGUGAGUGUAUAUGUAUUUAAUAUAGAAUUAUCUUUCAAAAUGAUUCCUUCUUGUUGAACCAGUUUUUAGUAAAUGUUUCCUAUAAAGGGCGCACGGUGGCUUAGCGGUUAGCACGUCCACCUCACACAUCCGGGGUUCGAGUCCCGCCGGGGCCAUGUGUGUGCAGAGUUUGCAUGUUCUCCCCGUGCUGCGGGGGUUUACUCCGGGUACUACGGUUUCCUACCCCAGUCCAAAGACAUGCAUAGUAGGCUGAUUGGCCUGUCUAAAGUGUCCGUAGUGUAUGAAUGGGUGUGUGAGUGUGUAUGUGAUUGUUGCCCUGCGAUGGACUGGCACCCUGUCCUUGUGCCCGAUGCUUCCUGGGAUAGGCUCCAGGUUCCCCGUGACCCUGAAGAAGGAGUAAGCGGUAGAAGAUGGAUGGAUGGAUGGAUGGAUGGAUGGAUGUUUCCUAUAAAUACAUACUAUUCAUUUUUAUGUAACUCAUUGCAUAUUGUGCAUUGUAAUGACUUGCUAGUUUCUUUAAUUCCCUGUGUACAUAAUGUAAUGCAAUUUGUGGCUAAUCUGAAAAGAUUAAAUAAAUAGAAAUAAAUACAGUUCUAUUUUUGUUCUGAAUACAAUAUAUUAUUACGUUAGUACACAGUGAGCUAUUCACACUGGAGUCAUUUUUUAAUGUGAUAAUCUCCUACUUGAAUAUAUACAAUAUUCCUGCAUACUCUGUCCAUCUCUAAAAUAGCGCUUGAAUUAUCAACACAAACCUCUGUAGUUCUAGACAAUAUUAUUAAACAUAAUGAAUUAGGGGGCAGUGGUGCUCCAAAAUGGUAAUUAUUUGAAUGGUAAAUACCACAGGUGACUUUCUCUACAGUUCACAGAAUUACAUUCGCGCAGACAAUCUUUUCAGGCAGAAAGAACUUAUCACAUAUCAUACUCGCAGUUAAAUAUUUUAUCAUAAAUGCUGUUCAUGCUUUUGUCGAAUUUCAGAGUUGCCCAAGGAAUGCCAAAAAUGCAAAUGCGUGCAUUAUCCACAUAUCUGCAAUUCCCUACUAUGUGAAACCAAGAGGCUUGAUUUUGUGUUGCAAGGAUCAUGAAUGUGAAUCAUUUCUAACAGCCGGUUGGAAGGUUGGAGGCAUGUUCCCAAAGAUCAUCUUCAGCCUCAACUCCAAAGAUUGUGUUGUUGUGAAUAAGAAGUAAGUACCAAAUGCAAAACAUGAGGCAAUGCUUACCAAUGGAGGCUUAACAACCUCCAUUUGAGGCUACACAAAGAAUUGUAAGUUUAGUCUUAUAAUACAAGAAUAGCUACUACUAGACGGAAGUGAGGAGGAUUACACUGGAAAUUGUCACGUUUCGUGACGUGAGGAAGUUCAGGACGGAUGCAAGCGCAGGAUGAACAGGUUUUAUUUAAGAGAGAGACAGGCAGACAAAUCCAAAACGUGAUCCACAAACGUAAUCCAGUAACCUGCAAAGUUCAGGCGAUCGGCAAACAGGCAUACACAGGGCUAGGCAGGAAUCAAGGUCGUGGUCACAGAAAAUAGGGUCGAGAUACAAAAUAUAAAACAUAAGCUACAGCGAGGGACUAGUAGCAGAGAAACCAGCAUGAACUAAACUAACGAACCAGACUAAGACUAAGACUAAGACUAAGACUAAGACUCAAAACAUGACACUAUGAACUGUGCCUGUGGUUCUCUAUCGUAAGGACGCUAAACUAAUCUACUAUCUAACUCAAUAUUCCAUGUUGUGUGCUGGGAGGCGCGCGGUAUAUAUGCGGACAUAAUCAGCGUUGUAAUUGCUGACGGGCAAUGAGGGCAAUUCAGACACACAUGAAACAACAACCAAUGACAGAACGGGGAGGAGACAUAACAGAAACAUAAACAAAUGCACGUGUCGAAAUGUCACGAUUGUCAACAAGGGAAAAGCGUUGACACGCGCGCUCGCUCACAUGCUCCACAGUGCGCUGCUUAAAGGGGAACUCGUGACAGAAAUGAUCAAGUAUAGAGCUACUGAUUCUGAGUAGAGCCCUGGCUGAGUGCUACAACCUGGACACUAUUAAUAACUGUUAUAGCUAAUAUAGUCCCAGUACCUCAGAAAUACGUAGUGACAUGCCAUAAAGACUACCACCCAGUAGCACCUACCCUGAUCAUAGUGAAAUGUUUUGAAAAAGUAGUCAUCUAAUAUAUCAAAGGCCCUGCUUAUCUGUUUAACCCCCAUAAGCUUGUUAUUUACUGAGUUCAGUCUGACAUUCAAUAUGAUCCUAUCAUACCAUUAAACAUGUCACUAAGUUUAAUGACCUGGAAUUUAAUUCAAGCUUAAUUUACUGGGGCCCUGCAGAGCUGUUUGGACACAUCAGUACCAUACUCAGCUCUUGGUGCUUUCUCUGUCAGUCAAGAUUGGUGACUAAAUUGGAUCACCUCAGGUGCUUUUUAUGCUCAGUCCCAUAUUUAUCUAUGACUGCACCCUUAGUCAUGAGAGUAACACAAUUAUUAGGAUUGCAGAUGACAGUACUCUUAUGCCAAUGAUUAGAGGUUGUGAUGAAUCAUCCUACAGGGAGAAGGUCAAGAAACAUCACUGUGCUCAGGCAAUAGCUGCAUCAACAAUGUCAAGAAAAUGUCAAGACCAAACUAGUUGUCAUGGACAAACGGGUCAGCUCUUUUAGAUAAACAUUGAGAGCAAAGGUUUUUUUUGCGUGAAAAUAAUUUCCAUCACUAGACAGAACACAUCCCAUCAAGGUGAACAUUUAAAUUCCACAAAACAGAGGAAAUAAUCAGGAUGUUUCACAUCUUUAUUUUUGCAAGUCAAAAAAAAAACCAGGGAAAGCCUGUUUUAAGUAUCUUACUCUCAUGAAUUUCUAAGAUCUAGUCUUGUGCUAUAAAAGUGAGCAUGGCCGUUCUACUAGAUUCCACUAGUUCCUUGACUCAUUCAGUAAAGCUGAAUAUAUCUGCUUUUAGCUACUCAGUCCUGUAUUGUAUUGUAUAACAGUAUAAAUUAGUCACAAAGUUGUUGUUUUUUAAAAUCACAUUUACUUUUAUUGAAUGUCUUGCAACUGAACAUGUUGCGUUGUGAUACUAGUAUCUAUAUCUACAUAAAGAGCACCUCUAUUUUAUGUAAGAAUCUUUGGUCAUAAUCAUUCUAUCAAGAAGUUCUAUUCACACUCCCGGUCUGUAGUCUUCUUCUGAUGUUGUGAUAAGCACGGAUGAUUUUAACAACCUCUUUACAUAUAAAUUCAGGUGUUUCAGGUCUUGAGUAUCUAAAUGAGAUGAGUCACAGCAUAGUGCGUGUUUGUUUUGUGCUGAAGCGUGAGGCCUGGAGCAGCUGCCAGGCUUGGAAAUUGUCUUUGCCUUCAGGAUAGUGUGUAAUCUGCAGGCUUUGACCUGAACAAAGCAGGGCCAUGGCUGGCUGCAUGAAUGAUAUUGCCUCAUCUCAUCUAUUGGCUGUUGGUUUAGCCCCCAAAAGCAGAGUCUCCCUGUCCUUUAGCUGUGUAGGAGUGUUUGUGUGUCUACGUGCAAAAUAUUUCCAAAUGGAGAGCUUCCAGCAUGUGGGCUUGGAACAAUGCAGAGUUCUUGAAGAGAGAAGGAUGUUGAAGAAACUGCACGUAGCCAUCAUAGAGGCGCCAUGGGAGCUCCCUCCCCCCUCCAUGUGAGCUAUGUUGUCCUUAUCUCACCUUUACAUGAGAUAAAGUUAAACAAUUCAGUAGUUCUUUCUAUAAAUAGCUGCUAUAACAUUACUGUAAAUGUGAGUCUCUUUUAUGGGAAAAUACAUGAAAGGGUGCAUGUUAAAUGACAAAUGUGACACUGAAUUUGCAGUCAUACAUGAGAUACACUUUGUUAAAACAUUUUAGCAUCAUUUUAACAUAAUCAUUAAACAUUGUGGGAGUGGUAAUUUACCUCAAAUUCCAAUGUCCUUUUGUAUGAAUUAUAAAGUAAUUUAGAACACUUAAAACAAUUAGAUUAAAUUUGAGCAGUUACUCAUGUGAUCUUCUGAAGCUUCUAUACGGUAUACUGAAGCUCCUCUGUACUGUAGGGGAAAUAACUACAGUGACUAGAUUAUUGCAAUGAUAAGAGCACACUGUGCAUGCUGUAACAGAUGGAUGGUAAGGAUGCAAUGAGUUGUUGCUUUUUUUUGCUUCAGUGUUUUUUCUUUCCCUCUGUGUCUUUUGAAGUGGAGUUGUGAAUAUGUAACUUACACUUCUGUGCAUGACUGUAAGCUUGGCUUUUUUGUUCUGUUUUUGAGUAUGGAUAUUUCUUGAAUAAUUACAUUUGUGAAGACAUUUACUAUAUUUAACUAAAUAUAUAAGAUUUUUACACCUUUUGCCUUACUAUGCUUAUUUAACAUUGUGUUACUUUGUGUUCAUUUAUAAACUGUGCAGUGAACUACAACUGAGGGGGCACAGAGGCUUAGGUGUGGGCAGUGGUGGCUCAAUGGUUAAGGCUCUGGGUUAAUGGUCAGAAGGUCAGGAGCUCAAGCCCCAGCACAACUGAGCUGCCACUGUUGGGCCCCUGAAAAAGUCCCACAACCCUCCCUGCUCCAGGUGUGCUGAAUCAUGACUGACCCUGCCCUCCAACCCCAGCCCCACAACAAGCUGGGAUAUGUGAAAAAAUAAUUUUACUGUGCUGUAAUGUAUAUGUGACAAAUAAAGGCCUCUUAUUCUUCUUCAUUUGUUCCUCUAGGUUUGGGGGUUCAAAUUCUGCCUCCACAGUGUACGUGGAGUUUGCAUGUUUUCCCUGUGCUACAUGCAUUGUAGGUUGAUUGGCAUUUCCAAAUUGUUCAUAGUGUGUGUGCGAUUGUGCCCUGCGAUGGGUUGGCACCCAAUCCAGGGUGUCCCCUACCUUGUGCCUCAGUUCCCUGUUAUAAGCUCCAGGCUCCCCUACAACCCUCUGUAGCAUAAGGGUAUGGAAAAUAGAUGGAUGACUGGAACUAGUGGCAAAGAGUGAACUUAACUACAGACUGCCCAACUACAGGCUGUAUUUUUUUUUUUUUUACUAUAAAUAACUUUUCAUAUAAAAAUCAUUGUCCCAAAUGAUGAUGAUAUUUUAAAAAGUUUUUAAGUUUUAUGACUACAAUUAAAGUGUGUUAAAUAAGUCCUG
ensembl:lncRNA